CCUACGGGAGGCAGCAGUGGGGAAUAUUGCACAAUGGGGGAAACCCUGAUGCAGCGACGCCGCGUGAGUGAAGAAGUAUUUCGGUAUGUAAAGCUCUAUCAGCAGGGAAGAAAAUGACGGUACCUGAUUAAGAAGCCCCGGCUAACUACGUGCCAGCAGCCGCGGUAAUACGGAGGGGGCAAGCGUUAUCCGGAUUUACUGGGUGUAAAGGGAGCGUAGACGGCAGCACAAGUCUGGAGUGAAAUGCCGGGGCUUAACCCCGGAAGUGCUUUGGAAACUGUGCAGCUAGAGUGCAGGAGAGGUAAGUGGAAUUCCUAGUGUAGCGGUGAAAUGCGUAGAUAUUAGGAGGAACACCAGUGGCGAAGGCGGCUUACUGGAGUGUAACUGACGUUGAGGCUCGAAAGCGUGGGGAGCGAACAGGAUUAGAUACCCUAGUAGUC
rnacentral:rRNA from 1 species